UUACUACUUUUGAUUCGUCUCUUUAUAGGUACCGUCAUAACUGUUCUGUGUUAAUGACUUCUGUUUUGGAGAAGAAAUACUGUAAUCCCUCCGUGCUGCUUCCUCCUGUUGGUGACACCAUGCUGUGCACCAUUUCCAGUGUUGCCACAGCAAUUCGCUUUGUUAUAGACCCUGCCCUUCCUGUAUUCGUUCUUUUUAAAAGCUUUUUUCUUGUUAUUGUGACACCACUUGUUCCGUUUCCCAGCCUAUAAGUUCUGCAUAGAUUAAGGGCCGAGCUACUAUUGAUCGCCUGCACAGGCUAUGGAAUUUAGCUUGUCCAUAUUGUUUUGCACCUAACGACUUUAUUGAGACUCUUGGAAUUUCCUGUGUUUCCUGCCUCAAGGAUCUUCAUACUUUUCCAAGGUACGCUGUUGCUACUUUUUUGUUUAGGCCUUGCUUCUGUUUGCUUGGAACUAAUGAAUUUUAUUUCCUGCCUGGUAUCUUUUGUUCUCAGAGCACGUGUUAAGUUGGACAUUGCUGAUGGCACUGGUUCCAUUUGUGUUAUUGCCUUGGGUUACGAAGCUGAGAAACUGAUGGGCUUUACUGCAUACCAGCUGAGCCAAUCUGAAUAUGAGGUGCGCUUUAGUUUGGUUAUUCGUGAGUGCUUGUCCAUUUCACACUACAUAUGAUGCACAUUUUUUCCUAACCCUUUUUUGCCUGUUGCAGGGUGUUAGCUUGAACCUCCGGGUUGCUGAUACUCUUGAUGGAAAAGAAUUGUUAUGUUAUGUUAAGCGUUCUCCUGAAUUCAUAAGAGUAACUGGAAUCAGGUUUACAAUUGUUACGUCAUAUUUGGUUGGAGAAGCUUCGUCUGUUGAAGAGUAAAAUGUGCCUUUCCUGCUUUGGUUAGAGUUCUAGGUUCCUUUGUGCUCCUACCGGUAACUUUGUUUAUGAUUGCCUUUUAUGAUGUAAUGCCUUGUAUAUUUCGCAAGGACCAAUUCUUCCGUCAAACGAUCCUUUUGUAAUGCCAUAUUGAUUUCGCCUUUUAUUUACUCGUGCUUUAUAAAUGACUUCAAUCUCCCACAGAUAAUUGGUAAACACAAUCUAGAUUCUU
rnacentral:lncRNA from 1 species